rnacentral:lncRNA from 1 species
CUGAGCAAGCAGCUGAGUUUCUAAGAACCAGAUCCAUCCACACAGACCACAAAAGACCCCAGCUUCAGCCUGUCAACAGGCAAACAGCCACCAAGAGUCCCGCCGCCGGCCACACCCCGAGAAGCCCACCUGCAGGGUGACAAGGACACUGACAAGGCAAAUUGAUACAUUACAGUAUUUCAGGGGUAGGGCAAAGAAGUGCCAAACAAGAGGAUAUUUACAUGGGCCCUCUGUUUUUGCCUGUCACUGCAUUUCAGCGGAACACAAGAUAAGCAAAACACAAGUUGGAUGCCAGUCCCGGCACCACUGGAUCUGAUCUUACAACCGUGAAAAGGAACAGCCCAGGGGCGGACCCAGAGCAGUUUUUAAUGACGCCAAUUCAGAAACAGCAAAGCUCAAAGGGCACCUGGCAGUUUUCCUUUCAGAUAAAAGGAAUAAAAACUCAUCCUAGGGGAUGCAAAUCAGUCAAACCCAGAGGCAGCUAAGGGGGGCACUGAGCAAGGCUGAGAAGCAGGAGAAGGAGAGAAAAGCCUUUCCUGGGAACCAGGCAGGAGAAGGCGAGAUGCACGCACACAUCCACGCCGGGCUGACUCCACAGAAAACCAGCUCCCAUCAACAUGUCAGGACAGUCAGAGUUUUCUGGAAGGUUUUGUUCUGACUGGGGGUUUCUUGACCUGGGGUCCACGGACACAGAAUGCCAUGGUUCGGAGAACACCUGUGGACUUGGAAGGGAAGGAAAACUCCCAAGAAACGAUUCUACAAAGGGGAGUGGGUGUGGAAUAAGGAGGCGCUCUGAAUUUAUCUCGUUUGUCAUCCCCAACCUUCAAGACAAACUCUGCCAACGUCCCCCUCGCGUCCACUGCCACUGCAGGGAGUCAGAGGGUGGGCGUCCCAGGUGUCCUCAAGCGCUGCUGCAUGUCAGAAACACGUGGAGCCUCAGGAAUGCUCACGCCCACGUCCAGCCCAGGUUCAAACUCCCUGCGAGGUUGGCAAGCACAGCCCAAGGGACGUGCAGACUGAGAACCACCGGGCUCGACUCAGGCCUGGUGAAGGCGUGGUGGAGAGCAAGGACCUCCUCACGCCGGCAGAAAGGCGGGAGUGGACUCAGCAAAGGAACCAGGGAUGCGCAUCGCAGGGUCGGAGUCUGAGUAACCGAACCUGCAGCCUCCUGGCCUCCAGAAACGUCACAUUUUAUUCUGAGUAAAGAAAGUAGCAUUUCUUGAGACAGAUGUUCAACAAAUUUCUAUCAGAUGAACGACUGUAUACCACGUGGAUUGGUAUUUAGAAUGGACUGUGCACUUGGGGAAACAAUAUCGUGAAGACGGUUCCACAUCUUCCUGAGUUCUGUGAGCUCGUUUAAGGCAGGUGUUUAAAGUCUUGGUCUGGUAGGUCUGCCAUCCGGCCGUUUUCAGGGACAGCUCUGUUGAGUUAGCUUUUCCUUGCAACAGGCCAUAUUUCCUGUUUCUUUGUGUGCCUUGUGAUUUUUAGUUGAAAUCUGGACCCUUGAAGCUAACGAGGUGGUAACUCUGGAAAUCAGAUCCUCCCCUCCGUGGGGUUUGCUGUCUCGUGUCGUGUUUCUGUGGUUUUGAUUGUCGCAGGCUGUGCUGAGGAUGGGCCCGAGGCGUCAGCUUGUCAGCUUGAGGUUUUCUCAGGUGUUUUCUGAGUCGCUGCCUUUCCCUGGGCACACACAGUCACUUCCUAAUUUCCCUGGUGUGCAACGGUUUGAACGUCCUAGUCUUUAGUGUCUGGCUCCCAAAAUGUAAGACAGAGAAAAAAGGUGGGGAGGAGGGUGCCAACCCUUUAAAUCCCCUGGGAUCACCUCAGCCUGAGUGCCUUGCCACAAUGUGGGGGGGGGGGGGUGCAACAACAAGGGUUGCCCCCUCUGUGACUGCCCCUCUGUGAUCAGAAGCAGCAAUCACAACACAGAUCCCCGUUAUCUGGAGGACAGGGUCCUUUUUGCUGGCUGUGUCCGUGUCUCCCGCACGCCUGUGCGAGCCGCUGCAGGAACACGCACACAGUUGCCUCCACGUGGCCGGGGGUAGGGGCCUGGGUAGCGGCUCCUGUGCUAAGAGCUGGAACUGACUGACAUUAAUCUCAAUUGACCGUCCAAGGCUUCCUCUGGGAGUUGCAAGCCUUCAGCAGACUCCAGGGCUCCCACUUAGUUCCCUCAGACAGAUCCUGCCGGCACAGUUGCUCUCCGUGUGGAUGGGGAGCCAGAUUCCCACCCCACUCCGCCUUCCAACUCCGCCUUCUUCCCAGAAUUCUCUCUGUGACUGUUUCUUGAGGGUGGGGGUGUAGAUGAUUCUCACCUUAUUUUGUUUACUUUGUUUAUUUCUGCUUUGUAUGAAUUUUUAAUAAACACAUUACUUUCAUAAUCAGAAAUAAAGAAUUUAUAUUCUGGAAAAGGAAAAGCACGGCCCUAAUUUACCCCUCCUGCUGAGUCUGCCGGUCAUUCCGCGAGUCUGUUCACCUCCACUCUUGAGGAAUAUGAGCCUGUCUACCGGAAGAAAGAUGACCUUUCCAGGACCCUUUGCAGCUAGGUGUGUCCAAGGUCUGGCCAUUGAGAUAUAAGUGGAAAUAGAGCAGCUUCCAGAAAUCUUCUCUAUGAGAUCAUUGGAGCGUGCCCUUUGUCAUUCUCCAUCCUGCAGCCUGGAAUGCAGCGGCCACCACCUUGAGCCGAGGCUGAGACCCUGCCCUGAGUGAGGCCACGACGUCACCCCUGGGUGCCUGACCCAGCAGAGCAUCACACCCUCCUGAGCCUACACCUGGACUUUCCCACGAGGCAGCCACUCACUUCCCUCUCGUGUAAGCCACCGUCGCUUGCUGUUUUCUAGUCA